GUUGAACUUGCAUGUACUUGUGUAUCUCCAUCAAUAGCUGCAAAAUACCCAAAAUGAUGUCUCGAAUUUAUUGACAUCCUUUAAAGUUAUUUCUGUCUGAUAUAAUUUAUAUUUUCUGCAUCACUUUAAUUCUUUAUUUUUUACAGCACAUUUGUGUAUUGCAUCACUUUUUCAAGAAGUGAUUUAUUUUUAACGGUACUGAGGAUGGAAUCCAAGGCCUUGAAUCCAGGAGCUACAUCUUCAACACUAUUAUUUUUCAGAUUCUGAGUCAGGGUCCUGGUCGCCAAGUCCUGAGCUGCUCAUGCGGACUGCAGCGUGCAGUCAGUCCGGCUGCUUCAAUCCCACCAGGGCUGGAGUCUUGGCUGAGGCCACCGCACCAGGCAGAGUGACUUUAGGAAAUGGGAGCAGGCGCCAAUAUGUGUGUCAUGGAUGGCCCAAUCUUCUGACCCAAGGGAGAUGAAAAGGAUGCCCACCCUCAGGACUGCAGAGCCUGCAGGUGCACAGACUCGCUCAAAGGUUUCUGAACCCAGUGGAUGUACAGUGCAAUUCAGCCACCUGGGGAUGACGCUGGUGACAUGUGUCCUGGAAUUACACGCUUAGUGCUGUGCAGGAUGCUGGGGAUUCUCAGGAAGGCCUUGGCCUUGGCAGGGUACUACGGAGUCUCCCAGCCUGGAUGCCACAGGGGACCUGGCCAUGCCUCCCCAGGAGGGCAGAGCUCGCCAGCCUCGUGGGAAGUUUUGUGAGAUCUCCGCCAGCUCCUGGGGUCCCUCAGAAAUGCCUCGAUCACACAGGGCACCAGGUGAGAAAAUGUGCUCAUGAACAAAUCGCCGACACCCAGCCUGCCCGCGUCCCACAGUGACCAGUUGCUCACGGAGACAUCGGCCAGUGCGCUGCAGGAGCAGCAGCAGCUCCCUCCCGGCUUAACCCGUGCUGCAUGGCCCCUCUGCGAAGCAACCCGGCCAAGGCCCAGCUCACCUGCAGGCUGGGCCAGGAAGCCUGGCUCCCUAGACGCAGAGUCCUGUUGCGGCUGGGAUUUAGGUGCUUUUAACCUGAAAAUGGUGCAUAUCCUGUCAGCACUGCAGAAGAACUCGAGGACCUCUUGGCCUGGGCUCAAUCUGGAGUAUUUGGGAACUUGGAGAAUGGAGCCUGGUCAUGGGCAGCCAUGGCUGGGUCUUCAAGAAGUUGUGUUGGAAAUGUCGACUCUUCUUUCGAAUCGCAGUCGUGUCCUCCGUCCCAGAUGGAGUGUGAAUGGUGCUUUCUGGGCUAAAAGAUGGGCUCAGCUGAGGGGAUCAAACUUGGGACCUUGCACUUGCGAGGCAGGUGGCAGCACCACUGAGCCAAAUCCCUGGUCCACAUCUUCAUCAUUUUUACCUCUCACUCUCCUCUCGGACCUCCUUUCUCAUCCCAUGAAGAUAUAG
rnacentral:lncRNA from 1 species